rnacentral:rRNA from 1 species
UACGUAGGGGGCAAGCGUUGUCCGGAUUUAUUGGGCGUAAAGAGCGUGUAGGCGGUUAGGUAGGUCCGUUGUGAAAACUCGAGGCCCAACCUCGAGACGCCGAUGGAAACCAUCUGACUAGAGUCCGGAAGAGGAGAGUGGAAUUCCUGGUGUAGCGGUGAAAUGCGCAGAUAUCAGGAAGAACACCCGUGGCGAAGGCGGUUCUCUGGGACGGUACUGACGCUGAGACGCGAAAGCGUGGGGAGCGAACAGG